CUUGGUGUAGGAUAGCCUGGUAUUCCGCCUGCUUUGGGAGCAGGAAAUCGCAAGUUCAAAUCUUGCCACCAAGA
rnacentral:tRNA from 1 species